GGCGGAUCUGCAGUGUAUGUGUGCACCUGGGGGAGGAGGGCUCCUGGCAGCCAAGCAGGCUCGGUGACGGGGUCUGACUGUUGCAGGAGGACAGCCUGGUGGCAGUGGUCUGCUCGGCACAGGGCUCCUCGGUGGGGAAGGACUCCUUGGCACUGGCAUCCUUGGAGAGAAGGGGCUGCUCGGCACGGGGCUGCUUGGCCAAGGGGGCAAUGGAAGUCUGCUUGGGCUGGAUGGGCUCCUGGGGCAAGAAGGACUGCUGGGACAAGGAGGGCUCGGAGCACUGCUGGGACAAGGAGAGAGCGGUGCUGCCGUCCCUCGGCCAUCACAACGCUUUGCCUGGCUGAAGGUGCUGAACCUGGAGAGAGCUCGCGUGUCAUGGAAGGUGCUGCCCGGGGGAGAGCUGGUGCUGAGCCUGUACUCGAGGCUGACGCUCAGCCUGCCGGGAAUAUUUCUCUUUCUGAGCGGAUCCUCAGUGGAAACGAACAUCACAUCCCACAUUGCGCUGACACAAGACAGCCCCGGUGACCUCAGGCUGGUGAUGAAGGA